rnacentral:other from 1 species
AAUACCCUGCCUUGUUCGUGAUCGGGCCGAAUUCUCUGACCCAACAUUAACCAUCAGGGAGCUCGAAGUCCGGGCGGCGCCCACAUGCCCCUGCUAAACCCGGGGGACUUGGAGACCGAUCGGCGGAGCACCCACCUCGUUAAGCGAGGUUCAGAGAUGAGCGCCCCAACGGCUAUGGCGGGGUAUUU